UNUGCCCCUUAGACAAUGGCCCACACC
rnacentral:piRNA from 1 species